rnacentral:misc_RNA from 1 species
UCUCCGUAGGUGAACCUGCGGAGGGAUCAUUACAGAGUUCAUGCCCUACCGGGUAGAUCUCCCACCCUAUGUUAUUAUUACUUUGUUGCUUUGGCGGGCCGUUAGGCUCCGGCCCGACUACCGGCCCCGGCUGGUAAGCGCCCCCAGAGGACCCAAAACCCUGAAUAUUAGUGUCGUCUGAGCACUAUAUAAUAGUUAAAACUUUCAACAACGGAUCUCUUGGCUCGU